rnacentral:lncRNA from 1 species
UCUCUAGUUAAAAUUAGGAGGGAAAUAAACAAGCCUAAUUUUUAUGGUAUCAUCUGGUCACAGGCCAGUGGAGAAGCAGUUACGUCCUUUAUUGCUAAUCUGUGCUUAGAACUGACAUAUCUCUUAUUUGAAAACGUUGCAUUUCUGAAUAAAUGGUUUGCCCUAGAAUACCACAUACAUAACACAUGUGUGUAUAUGUAUUUAUGUCUACAUAUAUGUAUAUAUACACGUGUGAUAUAAAUUUAUAUAUGAAUUACUAGAAACGUUUCGAUUUUAGGAUUAGAUAUUUUGCAUUUAUACAUUUGUCAGCCUACUGGACUGUAAGUUCAUUGAGGGUAAGAAGAAAAAGACCAUGAUAACCCCUUCUGGGAAUAUCAGUGCCUACGAAAACAUCUGUUUCUCAGUAAAUGUUGGGUAUCGAUGCUGAGCAAUGCUGAAAAAUAUGCAUGAGCAUUGUUACUCCAGUACUGAGAGCCAAAGAUGCCAUGGUGCACUCUAUCAUUUUAGAAAGACCAUAGACAAUUAGAUGGAAAAGGAAGGCAACAUCUUGCUAGGAUCUUGUGUAUGCUUCCAGGCAGAUGAGCAGCCUUUUUCCUAGGGAAAUGCAUGGCAGGCUUCAUG